AUUUAAAUAGCUUAUAUUUAGAGUAUAACAUUGAAGCUGUUAGGGAGGUUAGUUUAAUCUUUAAAUA
rnacentral:tRNA from 1 species